rnacentral:rRNA from 1 species
GAUGAACGCUGGCGGCGUGCCUAAUACAUGCAAGUCGAGCGAACAGACGAGGAGCUUGCUCCUCUGACGUUAGCGGCGGACGGGUGAGUAACACGUGGAUAACCUACCUAUAAGACUGGGAUAACUUCGGGAAACCGGAGCUAAUACCGGAUAAUAUAUUGAACCGCAUGGUUCAAUAGUGAAAGACGGUUUUGCUGUCACUUAUAGAUGGUUCCGCGCCGCAUUAGAUAGUUGGUAAGGUAACGGCUUACCAAGGCAACGAUGCGUAGCCGACCUGAGAGGGUGAUCGGCCACACUGGAACUGAGCCACGGUCCAGGCUCCUACGGGAGGCAGCAGUAGGGAAUCUUCCGCAAUGGGCGAAAGCCUGACGGAGCAACGCCGCGUGAGUGAUGAAGGUCUUCGGAUCGUAAAACUCUGUUAUUAGGGAAGAACAAAUGUGUAAGUAACUAUGCACGUCUUGACGGUACCGAAUCAGAAAGCCACGGCUAACUACGUG